rnacentral:rRNA from 1 species
UCCGUAGGGCGCAAGCGUUGUCCGGAAUUAUUGGGCGUAAAGAGCUCGUAGGCGGCUUGUCACGUCGAUUGUGAAAGCCCGAGGCUUAACCUCGGGUCUGCAGUCGAUACGGGCUAGCUAGAGUGUGGUAGGGGAGAUCGGAAUUCCUGGUGUAGCGGUGAAAUGCGCAGAUAUCAGGAGGAACACCGGUGGCGAAGGCGGAUCUCUGGGCCAUUACUGACGCUGAGGAGCGAAAGCGUGGGGAGCGAACAGG